UACGUAGGGGGCGAGCGUUGUCCGGAUUUAUUGGGCGUAAAGAGCGUGUAGGCGGCCAGGUAGGUCUGCUGUGAAAACUCGAGGCUCAACCUCGAGACGUCGGCGGAAACCAUCUGGCUAGAGUCCGGAAGAGGAGAGUGGAAUUCCACGUGUAGCGGUGAAAUGCGUAGAGAUGUGGAGGAACACCAGUGGCGAAGGCGGCUUUCUGGUCUGUAACUGACGCUGAGGCGCGAAAGCGUGGGGAGCAAACAGG
rnacentral:rRNA from 1 species